rnacentral:rRNA from 1 species
AUUCCGCAAUGGGCGAAAGCCUGACGGAGCAAUACCGCGUGAGGGAUGACGGCCUGUGGGUUGUAAACCUCUUUUCUCAAGGAAGAAGUUCUGACGGUACUUGAGGAAUAAGCAUCGGCUAACUCUGUGCCAGCAGCCGCGGUAAU